CAGGCAGGAAAGAAAUGAGACAACAGAGAGGGACAGUCUGUGAGGCCAUCAGAGCUGCAAAGGAAAGUGAAGUCAGGGAGUGGGCAGGCUCUGGGAGGAAGCACUGCUACCAUCUAGAGAGUUCUUGGAAGGCCUCGUUGAGAUGCCUGUGUUUCUGCAAAGACCAGAAGGAGGUUUGUCCUUUCCUGUAUGGAGAAUGCUCUACUCCUCUCCUACCCAGGGGAGGCCAGGGACCGAGGACUGCCAAGGGAGCCUCUGGGUACCACUGGUGCUCCAUGAUCCUGGAUGGAUGCUGGAUGGAUGCUGGAUUUUGGUUCUGCAACAUUGCAUGCAUGAAACCACGUGUGGGAAGUAGCCUGGAGAGUUGCACACAUGGCG
rnacentral:lncRNA from 1 species